UCGGGGCGCGCCGCCGGUCCGAGUGCCUUGGAACAGGCCGCCGUGGAGGGUGAGAGCCCCGUACGCGGCCGGCGGACCGUCCCCGCACGAAGCCCUUUCGACGAGUCGAGUUGUUUGGGAAUGCAGCUCCAAGCGGGUGGUAAAUUCCAUCUAAAGCUAAAUACAGGCCGGAGACCGAUAGCGCACAAGUAGAGUGAUCGAAAGAUGAAAAGCACCUUGAAAAGGGGGUCAAACAGCACGUGAAAUUGCUGAGAGGGAAGCGCUGGCCCCCAGACCUGCUGCGCGGGCGAUCCCCCGCGGGCUUCGCGGGGGAUCCUCGCCCGCGUUCAGGCCAGCACGGGUCCAGGCGGCGGGACAAAGCGCCUGGGAAUGUAACUCCCUCCGGGGAGCCUUAUAGCCCGGGCGGUCAUGCCGCCCGCCCGGACCGAGGACCGCGCUUCGGCGAGGGUGCUGGCGUAAUGGGGGUCAGCGACCCGUCUUGAAACACGGACCAAGGAGUCUAACGUCCCCGCGAGUGUUCGGGCGUCAAACCCCCGGCGCGGAAUGAAAGUGAACGGAGGUGGGAGCCCCGCGAGGGGCGCACCAUCGACCGAUCCAGAUGUCUUCGGAUGGAUUUGAGUACGAGCGCGGCCGUUGGGACCCGAAAGAUGGUGAACUAUGCCUGGGUAGGGUGAAGCCAGAGGAAACUCUGGUGGAGGCUCGCAGCGGUUCUGACGUGCAAAUCGAUCGUCAAACCUGGGCAUAGGGGCGAAAGACUAAUCGAACCAUCUAGUAGCUGGUUCCUGUCGAAGUUUCCCUCAGGAUAGCAGUCGCGCGGGCGGUUUUAUGAGGUAAAGCGAAUGAUUAGAGGCCUUGGGGGUGCAACACCCUUAACCUAUUCUCAAACUUUAAAUAUGUAAGAAGCCC
rnacentral:rRNA from 1 species